CCUACGGGUGGCAGCAGUGAGGAAUAUUGGUCAAUGGGCGGAAGCCUGAACCAGCCCAGUCGCGUGAGGGAUUAAGGCCCUGCGGGUCGUAAACCUCUUUUGCCGGGAGCAGUGGUCCGGACGUGUCCGGGCCGGGAGAGUACCCGGAGAACAAGCAUCGGCUAACUCCGUGCCAGCAGCCGCGGUAAUACGUAGGAUGAGAGCGUUAUCCGGAUUUAUUGGGUUUAAAGGGUGCGUAGGCGGUCAUUUAAGCCGGCGGUCACAUGUCGGGGCUCAACCCCGGCCUGCCGUCGGAACUGGGUGCCUUGAGUGGGCGAGAAGUAUGCGGAAUGCGUGGUGUAGCGGUGAAAUGCAUAGAUAUCACGCAGAACCCCGAUUGCGAAGGCAGCAUACCGGCGCCCGACUGACGCUGAGGCACGAAAGGGCGGGUAUCGAACAGGAUUAGAUACCCCAGUAGUC
rnacentral:rRNA from 1 species